rnacentral:rRNA from 1 species
GCACAACGCGAAGAACCUUACCUACUCUUGACAUCCAGAGAACUUAGCAGAGAUGCUUUGGUGCCUUCGGGAACUCUGACACAGGUGCUGCAUGACUGUCGUCAGCUCGUGUCGUGAGAUGUUGGGUUAAGUCCCGUAACGAGCGCAACCCUUGUCCUUAGUUACCAGCACGUUAUGGUGGGCACUCUAAGGAGACUGCCGGUGACAAACCGGAGGAAGGUGGGGAUGACGUCAAGUCAUCAUGGCCCUUACGGCCUGGGCUACACACGUGCUACAAUGGUCGGUACAGAGGGUUGCCAAGCCGCGAGGUGGAGCUAAUCUCACAAAACCGAUCGUAGUCCGGAUCGCAGUCUGCAACUCGACUGCGUGAAGUCGGAAUCGCUAGUAAUCGCGAAUCAGAAUGUCGCGGUGAAUACGUUCCCGGGUCUUGUACACACCG